ACGCUGGCGGCGUGCCUAAUACAUGCAAGUAGAACGCUGAAAGAGGAGCUUGCUUCUCUGGAUGAGUUGCGAACGGGUGAGUAACGCGUAGGUAACCUGCCUGGUAGCGGGGGAUAACUAUUGGAAACGAUAGCUAAUACCGCAUAAGAGUAGAUGUUGCAUGACAUUUGCUUAAAAGGUGCAAUUGCAUCACUACCAGAUGGACCUGCGUUGUAUUAGCUAGUUGGUGGGGUAACGGCUCACCAAGGCGACGAUACAUAGCCGACCUGAGAGGGUGAUCGGCCACACUGGGACUGAGACACGGCCCAGACUCCUAAGGGAGGCAGCAGUAGGGAAUCUUCGGCAAUGGACGGAAGUCCGACCGAGCAACGCCGCGUGAGUGAAGAAGGUUUUCGGAUCGUAAAGCUCUGUUGUAAGAGAAGAACGAGUGUGAGAGUGGAAAGUUCACACUGUGACGGUAUCUUACCAGAAAGGGACGGCUAACUACGUGCCAGCGGCCGCGGUAAUACGUAGGUCCCGAGCGUUGUCCGGAUUUAUUGGGCGUAAAGCGAGCGCAGGCGGUUAGAUAAGUCUGAAGUUAAAGGCUGUGGCUUAACCAUAGUACGCUUUGGAAACUGUUUAACUUGAGUGCAAGAGGGGAGAGUGGAAUUCCAUGUGUAGCGGUGAAAUGCGUAGAUAUAUGGAGGAACACCGGUGGCGAAAGCGGCUCUCUGGCUUGUAACUGACGCUGAGGCUCGAAAGCGUGGGGAGCAAACAGGAUUAGAUACCCUGGUAGUCCACGCCGUAAACGAUGAGUGCUAGGUGUUAGACCCUUUCCGGGGUUUAGUGCCGCAGCUAACGCAUUAAGCACUCCGCCUGGGGAGUACGACCGCAAGGUUGAAACUCAAAGGAAUUGACGGGGGCCCGCACAA
rnacentral:rRNA from 1 species